CUAUAUGGUGCUGAUACCUAGGCACCGACAGGCCACAUGCCCCCCGUCUACAAACACAUUUGAAAACGAGGACGAUGUCUGGUGUCUUUCCAGGUGAGAAUUUCAAAGAGUGAGAGAGACCAUUAUCUAAAUCAUCAGCUAACCAAGUCGCUGAAGAGAUAAAUAAUUGAAUGUUAUCUGAAAUUAAUAAAAUCAAACAAGCAUUCCUUAAUUUUAAGAAAAUACUAUCCAUAAUAUGUGAUGUGUAAAAGGAGUUGAAAUCUCACGCUAAUUUUAAAACCGACUUUAAACACACACACACACACACACACACACACACGCACACACACACACACACACACACACACACACACACACACACACAAAUGCAUGUUGAUAUUUAAAAUAGGUGAUACUAUUUUCUAUAUAAAAAAUAGUCUCCAUUCGUUUCUUAAAACAUACAGAGUGGUUUUUACGUUAGGUUGUUGCUCACACCUACAUUGCUUCCUUUGAGGCUGCUGUGGCGCCAUGUGACACGCCUCUUUUUCGCGACUGUUUUUCGCGUGUACAAAAGCUAACGCCACAGAAGCUGAAGCUUUCUUCAGCGGCUAAAACAGUUUUUUUUGCUACGUCUUAAAAGUACGAAAACAUUUUUAAAAAUGUCUGGCUCUCCUAAUGGUAAGUCUAGUUUUCAUUAACAGCCAUUUUAAAUCAAAUUUGUUUAUGUGUGAUCACGAGUCAUCCCAUUACUUGACAGGCAAUUUGAUGUUCUGUGCACAGAGCAACGGUUAUGAGACGAUUGUGAACGAAAUCAAAGCACUGAACGCGGGCGGUAUGUUUGAACGAUUGUUUCUUUAUUUAUUAAAAACCGUUAUGUAUAACGAAUGCGUGUUUAUGAUCGUUCUUUUUUCAUUAUCCCCCACCGACAGCACGCCCUCCACAGCCUAACGUUGCGUACGAGGUACCGGGGGUUAGGACUGACAUCACACCCGCGUCCGGUAAGUUCUGUUAAUAAUUUAUAUUAUGUUGUAAAAAAUAAAAUAAAACUGUACUUGUGGCAGGAUUGACGUUUAUGAUCGUUUUUUUUUUUCUUUUUCUUUUCCCCUUUCUCAUUCAUACAAACAACGAGCGCACAGUCGAUUAGUACGGUGAAGGGCCGAGUCGCGAGAGAAAACAGGGGAUCGCUCUCUUGUUUAAGACAACUUGUUAACCGGUACCCGUCCGUUACAACUGCGGAACGACAUGAAACAGCAAACAGUGCUAGACACGGAACACCAUUAGGAAGAAGAGUGGUUGUGACAGCGCAGAUCCAUUCACCACCGCAAAUAUCUACUAAUUCUACACCUGUUGAUUGUACGGGGAGUUUUGCAAACAGUAUACCUCAAGCAGUUGCUGAUGCAGGUGUUAGAAGACCGUGGGUAAAAUCAAGAUCACACCAUGAACACCAGAAUGUGACUGCUCUCCCGGUUCAGCCCGAUAGACAAAAGACUGUAGACCCCUGUGAGAUCGACGUGAUACCUAACACCCCCGAGCGAAAACGUCCGAGACAAUCAACUCAACCAGAAGACAAGGAGCUCUGGGACGAGCAUUUUGCCCAAGCAUGGGAUGGAUGCGAUAUGAACGUCCAAUCUAAUGUGGAUCAGGAGGAGAAUUUAAAUCAACCCACAGACACUGUUGAAAACGUCGCCGAUUCAGAUGAUGAUGAUGCAGACAAGCUUCCUUCAAACCAGGAGGAAUACAAGAACCAGCAGCUGAACGACACAAACAAUGACAUUUUGAACACUAUUGUCAAGAACCAAGAAAGAAUUAUAGAGGACCAAGCACGUCAUAAACAGCAGAACGACGCAAACAAAGCCAUUUUGGACACUGUUGCCAAGAACCAAGAACAUCAUAAACAGCAGAACGACGCGAACAAAGCCCUUUUGGACACAGUAGCCAAGAACCAAGAAAGAAUUAUAGAGGACCAAGCACGUCAUAAACAGCAGAACGACGCAAACAAAGCUGUUUUGGACACUGUUGUUAAGGAGCAGCAGAAACAAGGGAUCAUCCUUAAACAUAUUGUUGCGUUACUAAAACGUCAUCAUGGUGCACAUGCUAAGACGGCCUGUGAUCAGGAAAUGACUGUAACGCUGUUAACUGAACUGCUGGAUCUUUUUAAAUAACUGUAUUGGUGAGUCCUAUUUUCUUUACCCAGUUUUUUUUUCUAAGUGUGUAUUAUUUUUGUCACAAGUGUGCAUAGAUGUGGUUUUAUGAUUAGAUUUUUUCCUUCUUCUACGUUUAGUUGUGUGGUGUGUAUUUUGUGAAUAUUUUUAAAUAAAUUAGUGUUAGAAAUGGCUGCAAAACGUUGUCGGGAGUCAUGUGAUGGUGAACAAGAUCCACCGUUAAGGGGCAAUAGGGAUGAUAAUUUCCAAAAUCAACAAAACACCACAGAAAAGCUACUCAGGCUCAUACAGACUGUUGAUGAGAUGAAAAAACACAAACCGUCUAAAUUGUUAAAAUUAAUAAACAGGGUACAAUCAAGGGCAGAGCCUCCUCCAGAACCGGUUUUUGAUUUUGAACAGUUUUUAAACUCUCAACAGCUAGACGAGGUGUCAGAACCAGUUUUUGAUUUUGAACAGUUUUUAAACUCUCAACAGCUAGACGAACUGUCAGAGCCUGUUUUUGAUUUUGAACAGUUUUUAAACUCUCAACAGCUAGACGAAGCCCCCGAACCAGUUUUUGAUUUUGAACAGUUUUUAAAUUCUCAACAGCUAGGUGAGGGAGCAGGUACCAGGUCACAUCACACACUUGACCUAACAGACCCCUGCAUGGGUCUCACUCAAGCUGAAAUAGAAACACUUGUAAGAGCGGGUGGCGAUGUGGCCGGAUACUCUGUAGUACCACGAGGGCGAUUCAAUGGUUUGGAAAUCCGCAGGCUUAUAAAUCUAAGGGAAAUAUCUUCUACACGUCUAUCAGACUACACUGUGUUUUUACAUGACACGUUUUCCGAAAUAGUGGCGUUUUCCAGAUUAUUAGGUGGAGAUGGUAGUUUAAUUAACAUCACUUUGAGUGGUCCUAGCUUGACAUCUGAUGUUAAUACACUCUUGUCAGCUAACAAUGAUUACAGUGUCGAUCUCUUCAUCAGUGAUCUUGAAAAAAUCAUGCAAAGCAACACAGAUGUACAGUUUGAUGAGUGUUUAAAUUUAAAAGUGUCUAUAGCAAGAAGUAAACAAGGAGGUGCUCGACGAAAAUUAAGGGAACUAGCCCACAAUCAGGUGAUUGAUAAGAACAGACUUAAUUUGUUCGUCCCCUCAAACAUUGCAGGGGAAAACAAUCUUUGUUUUGCAAUCUGCUUAGCACACUUUCUUAACCCUCAGAAACCACACACUGAGUUAGUGUCCGUAGCAUCAGCAUUGCAGGAGUCUGCAGGAUACACCGAUCAGCAUAUGAUAUCACUUAAGGAUAUUGCCCAGUUUGAACGUAUGUUGAAUAUUAAAAUAGUGGUCUUCUAUAGAACGAAUACAGGAAAGCUGGAGAAAUAUGCAAACACAGAUGUACCGCAUCCUAAAACAGUGUUUUUGUACCUGCACGACAAUCAUUAUUUUAUGAUUAAAAAUCUGAAGGGGUUCGUAGGCACACCAUACGUGUGUGAGUAUUGCUAUCAAGGGUUUACAGCACAGCGAGAUCACAGAUGUCAAUACACUUGUGAUGUUUGCAACGAUUCUGAAUGUCAUCUUUACCCCAAAAAAACAAAACACUGCGGUGACUGUUUGAGGUACUGUAGGUCAGACUAUUGUUUUCAGAAGCAUAAAAAACCACCUCUAGGUCAGAAAUUUGCACAGUGCGACGUUACCAAAUAUUGUGGUAAAUGUAAUAAACGUUACCACGUCAGUGGCGUCAACCCCAAGCCACACAAAUGUCCAGCGGAUUGCUGUGUUCACUGUAGUGAGGUUUUGGUUACCGACGGUGUGCAUCAGUGUUUUAUUCAACCGGUUAAGGUGAAGGAGCCAAAUAAUCGCUACAUUUUUUUUGAUUUCGAAACUCGUUAUGAAAAUAACAGACAUUUUGCAGUUUUUGUAUAUGCGAUCACGUUUGAGGGAGAAGAAUUUUCGGCCGAAGGUUAUGAUUGUGUAGAUCGUCUCAUUAAAGGGCACCUAUUAUGCAAAAUUCACUUUUACAUGGUGUUUGACCAUACAUGUGUGUUGGCAGUGUGUGAGCAAAACCACCCUAGCAUGAUAAAAAUCCACCUAGUGUUUUUUUUACAAUCUCAAUAAUUCAUGAGCACUGUCUCAAAACGCCCUGUUCUAAGACUGCUCUCACUGUGACGUAGAAUUGAGCUAAGCCCCACCGACGUGGUUUGAUUGACAAUCUGGUUUUGGCAUAGAGCCCGCCCUCCGUGAUCUGUACACCAUCCUCCAUUGUUUCAACGACAGCCGGUAAUGUCUCCUAAGAAACAUAAGUGUUCUGUUGUGGGAUGUAAUAAUGAACAUAGUAGUUUUCACUUACUUCCGACAUCAGAGCCACUGAAAACGCAGUGGAUGGAUUUUAUUUAUGAAGGAAAUACGUUUAUGUUUGCGCGAAUCAUUUUUUGACUGACUGUUUUGAGAACGAGGGUCAAUUCAAAGCAGGUCUUGCUUCAAAGUUAAUCCUCAAGUCUGGAUCGUUGCCUACUGUUCGCGAUGCAACGUCACCUUCAGAAGAAGUAAGUGUAUUUCAUGUUUUUUUAGAAAAUAGUCAUUUCAGUCGAUGUCAGCCAGUUCAAUAACAAAUGCGUCUAAAGUUGUUGUCGUCGUCGUAGAAAAUCUGACUGUGUAUAUAAUGUAAACCUUGUUUGUAAAGUGUGUAUCCACACGUAUAUAAUUUUUUAAAGAUAUUGUAUUAAAAACCGUGUAUGUUUUCUGUAAAGACAAGACAUCAAAAUUGCUAUGUUUAUACAAAGGCCAGCACAUCGACACGAAGCUGUAGAACGAGGGAUAUUGGCGUGCAGACAGAAACAUCAAAGCUAUGCAGUGUUGGUACACAACUGUCAAUGAGGACGCUUCAAACACACCACAGGAGUGUCUGUGUCCAGACAGAGACAACAUUGUCAAGUUUUGAUGUUAGCACAAAAUUAGUUUCUCAUACAGCUGUUGCGUCUUCCACGCCCCUCAAGACUUCAUCAAAAAGACCUUGUCUGGACCUUGAGGAAGAUGAAGAUAUCCUGCAGGAAUGCUCUUCAAUACUAACAUCACAAGAGACUGAUGUCACAUUUAAUCCUGCAGAGGCAGACACAUCAAUAACAGAGCCAAAAGACUUGUCAGCUCAAGAAUCCAGCCCUAUUCAAAACAUUUGUAAAUAUAUUGUCUAUGAGACCUGCAUCAUGGAACUGUUUGAUGUGUGCCCGGUAUGUCAUAGAAGCUGUCAUAUAAGAUCACAAAGGAUUGGAACAUUUCUACGUGUUGAACAACUCUGCCACCAUUGUCAGUUCUCACGGAAAUGGAACAGUCAGCCGAUUUUGGGCAGUACUCCAGCUGGAAACCUUCACCUUUCUGCUGCUGUGUAUCUCAGUGGUGCUUCAUUUUUCACAAUUGAAAAGAUAUUUGCAGCUAUGAAGUUACAUCUUUUCAAGUACGACACCUUUCGUCGUCAUGCACGAAUGUGCAUUGAGCCUGCUAUUGUUUACAAAUGGAGAAACUGGCAGGAUGAGAUGCUACAGCUGUUGGCUCAAAGGGAAAAGGUCAUUGUUGGAGGAGAUAUGAGGGCUGACUCACCAGGGCACUCUGCCAAAUAUGGCAGUUACACAAUGAUGGACCUGGAGACAAACACCGUUGUUGAUGUACAACUCGUCCAGAGUAAUGAAGUGGGAGGAAGUUACCACAUGGAAAAGGAAGGUUUGAAGAGAGGUCUUGACUUUUUGGAUGCUCAUGGAGUGACUCUGGACUGCAUUGUGACUGACCGACAUCCGCAAAUACAAAAAUUCCUCAGGGAACGCAAUGUCAACCAAUUCUAUGAUGUCUGGCACAUAGAGAAAGGAAUUUCAAAGCAGCUGGAAAAAGUGUGCAAGCUAAAGGGUUGUGAGAAAAUACGUAAAUGGUUGCAUAGUAUAAAAAACCACAUCUAUUGGACUGCUGCAUCAUCAAGCAGUGGACCUGAAAGAGUGGCUAAAUGGAUGUCUAUGCUAAACCACAUGCAAAAUAAGCACACACAUGAAGACAGCAAUUUUCCAGCAUGUCUACAUGGAACAAGGAGAAGUCGAGACACAAAAAAGUGGCUAGCUGCUGGAACACUGCCAUAUCUCAAGUUGGAGAAAGUUCUCUCCAACAAGAGAAUUGUGAAGGAUGUUGCCAAGCUAAGUCCACACUAUCAGACUUCUUCUAUCGAGGUUUUCCACAGUGUAAUACUACGGUUUACACCAAAAAAUGUGGUUUUUCCAUUUCUGGGAAUGUUGUGCAGACUAUACCUGGCUGCACUACAUUACAAUGAGAAUGCCGGGCGUCCUCAAGCCACGACAGCAGCUGGUCGACCGGUGUUCAAAGUGACCUUUCCAAAGGCCAAGAAGGGAGAAUACCGGGUCAGAGAAGUAAAGACACAAGCAACAUUCAAAUAUGUGGAUGACCUGCUGGACCUCAUAUUUGAUAAAGUCUUUGUGGAUCCUGCACCAUAUGUGGAUGAUGUUUUGAGGAUACCAAUACCACCAGCAUUGUGCGCAGAGUAUGACCGGCCAGAGAAGGAGGAGGCCAUCUCUAGUAGGGUAUCUCGGUUUAAUCAAUAGGUGGUCGAAAACCUACAUAACUACCCUGGGCAUCAGGAAACUCUCUUCGAAUCCUCAGGACCACACAGGAUGGAAUCACAACUCGAACUUUUCGUCCAAGGAAACCCCAGCACCAGCUCACAAAACUCCGAUAAGCUAAAAAUCUGUAACGACUAAGGCACACACACACAUAGCCACGUUCUCAAAACAGGGUUCAAGGAUUUUUCUGUGUUUUUUUUUCUUUCAAAUAUCUAUCAUUUGUUGUCUGGAGUUGAAAUAUUUGAUAUUUAAUUGAUCAUGGUUCAAUUUUUUUUGGAGGAAUGUCCUUUUAUUAAAAUUAUUUAAUUUCUAAACUUAUUUGUACAGUUCAGUGUCUUUAUACAUAAUGUAAAUAAAAAAAUGUAUAUGCAA